rnacentral:rRNA from 1 species
AAUAGAUACCCUGGUAGUCCACGCCGUAAACGAUGAGUGCUAAGUGUUAGAGGGUUUCCGCCCUUUAGUGCUGUAGCAAACGCAUUAAGCACUCCGCCUGGGGAGUACGGUCGCAAGACUGGAACUCAAAGGAAUUGACGGGGGCCCGCACAAGCGGUGGAGCAUGUGGUUUAAUUCGAAGCAACGCGAAGAACCUUACCAGGUCUUGACAUCCUCUGACAACCCUAGAGAUAGGGCUUCCCCUUCGGGGGCAGAGUGACAGGUGGUGCAUGGUUGUCGUCAGCUCGUGUCGUGAGAUGUUGGGUUAAGUCCCGCAACGAGCGCAACCCUUGAUCUUAGUUGCCAGCAUUCAGUUGGGCACUCUAAGGUGACUGCCGGUGACAAACCGGAGGAAGGUGGGGAUGACGUCAAAUCAUCAUGCCCCUUAUGACCUGGGCUACNCACGUGCUACAAUGGGCAGAACAAAGGGCAGCGAAGCCGCGAGGCUAAGCCAAUCCCACAAAUCUGUUCUCAGUUCGGAUCGC